UUUUAAUUAAGAUUUUAAAAAUAAAGAUCUCUUAAAAAAAGAUAUAUAUUUAUAGUAUAAUUAUUUUGAUGUUAAAUUAUUGUUUACUGUGAAGUAAAAGUUAUGAAAAUAUUGAAAUAUCUAAAAGUUUUGAAAGUAUAAAUUAAAGUACCUUUUGCAUUAGGGUUUUUUAAAAAAAUUAAUAGCUUUUAAUUUCCCGAAGUCAAGAUGAUCUAUUAAAAUAUUAAUUUUAUGUUGAAUUAUAAAGUUAAAAUUUUUAAUAGUAAUGAAAUUUUUUUCAUAUAUGAGGAUAUCUGGUUAUUAUAAGGGGAUUAUAUGUCUAAUUAUUAAAUAAAUAUUUAUGUGAAUAUUUAUAAUAAUUUAUAUUUAUAGGGAUAAGCUUAUAAAUAAAUUUUUAAAUUUAUUUAGUUUGAGAAUGAAGGAUUAGAAUUUUCUUAGGCUUAUAAUAAAGUAUUUGAGUUUAUAAAAUUAAGUAAAAUUAGUUUAAUGAUUAAAGUAAUUUUUUUUUAAUGAAAAUAUAAGGAAAUUAGUAAAAGUUGGUUUAAAUUCAUUAUGAAGAUUAAAGUGAAAUAUAAAGUUUGUUAAGCUAAAUUAAAGGAACUCGGCAAAAAAUUUUUUUAAUUGACUGUUUAUCAAAAACAUUUCAUUUUGUAGUAAUAAAAUGUAUAAUCUGCUCAAUGAGAUUUAAAUUGCUGUGGUAUUUUGACUAUACGAAGGUAUUGAAAUAAGGCUUUAAAUGAGUGCUAAGAGAAUGGUUGAACAAUUAUAGGCUUUCUUUAAUUAAUAAAUUGAAGUUAAUUUUUUUGUGAAGAAGCAAAAAUGAAUAUUAGGGACAAGAAGACCCUAUGAAUUUUAAAAUUAAAAAGGAGAUUAAUAAAUAAUUUUUUAAUUUUAAUUGGGGCGAUGAGAAAAGAAUAGUUAUCUUUUUUUAUGAGUUAAUUUGACCCAUUAAUAAUGAUUAAAUGAUUAAAAUACUCUAGGGAUAACAGCGUAAUAAUUUUGGAUAGUUCAUAUAGAUAAAAUAGUUUGCGACCUCGAUGUUGGAUUAGGAUACUUUAUUGGUGGAGAAAUUAAUAUAAGAAGUUUGUUCAACUUUUAAAAUCCUACAUGAUCUGAGUUCAGACCGGCGAGAGCCAGGUUGGUUUCUAUCUUAAUAUAAAGAUAAAUUUUUUUAGUACGAAAGGAAUGAGAAAUAUUAAUUUUGGUUAAUAUGAGUGAGUAUUAAGUUCGACUAAUUUGGCAGAAAAAU
rnacentral:rRNA from 1 species